ACGUAGUAACGCGGGUUCUUUAAUGAGAUGAAGUGCAGUGAAAACACAAGUUCGCAGUCCUCCACGCGCGUUUUACUAGGUUGUGAACAUGCGUCAUGACGCAAAGGAACUUGUCCCAGGACUAACUUUUUUCCUAGGUGGACUGAAUAACCCUGACUGCUGGAAAUGGCUUUAUAGCCAGCCAAUCAGAAUGGAACGGCAAUUUUUGGAGGCUGAAACGAGACAAAACAUACUUUUCAAUUUGAACUUCAUGCCAGAGCUUCAGGAAGGUGAAAGCAAGGUGGGAGUCUUACAAACGCAAGGUGCAAGCGAGAAAAAAGGGAAGAAGAAAAAGAAAACCACACACGCCAUCCAUUGGUCUUUGUAUUGAUUCACAGGGGUGUUGAAAAGGUCUUUGGUCAUGCCCUUACCAAAGCAUACUAAUUUGCUUGAUCAAGUCUGUCAGAAUAUCGACUGGGAGGAGGUACAGCGCCCGCCAUUGUGUUUUCUUCAGCGGGGAGCCGGUCUGUGAAACAGGAUUACCAGAGGUCACGCAGGCAGUGAAAGGAUGUCCAUCACUUUCUGUCUGCUAAUACAAAGGGGCGGGAACUGGGACGUGAUUGAGAUGUUGAAGAGAAGAGGAAUGGCAGUUUCAAAAAAGAAAAACAUCUCUUGCAUGCAAAUGUCUCACUGUUAAUGUAUUCAUAGCCAUCUCACGGAGUUUUAAUCACAGAAGAUGGCUGGCUUACAGUUUCCUGUUUUAUUUCAGGCUCAGAAACAGAAGGUUGAAAUUGAACACUGUUGCUGUGUUUGCUGCAGUCAAAAAAUAAAAUUAAAAGUUAAUUGUUUCAGCUUUAUUGUAACAUUUCAUAAAUUUGACCUUGACAGUGACAAUGAGUUUUACAAAAUUAUCAGUUUUACAAAAUUAGUAAUUCCUUAAAAUAAUCAGCUGAAAAAUGAAUUUUAUACAGUCUAAAUGUUUUAAAUUACAGGAAAACAGAAUAACCUCGCAUUAACAUUGCGGAGAGAUACAGCAUUGUCUGCUAUGAGGAGCAAGAUAAAAAAUCUCAUAAAAGUUAUCAAUUUAAUAAAAAUGUACUGCAUCAAAGGUCUAAAUUUCAACAACAACAAAAUUAAUUUCUUUUCAUUUAAUGCAUUUCUUUUCGCCCCUUUCAGGAGUUACUAAAUUUAUUGUAUUCAUUUUGAAUUGGCUUGAGCAGGUGAAAAGAUGUACAUUUUAAGCUUAGGGAAAACUGUCAGAACUGUAAAGAAGCUUUUACAAAAAAAAAAAAAAAAAAAAACUUUCAGGUUGUGGGGGUUAUUUGCAAUAUAAUUUUUAUCAAUUUAAAUGUUAAAUGGUCUUCUGCAUUAUUGACAUCUGAUAUGACAAAAAAAAAAUUAAACAAACAUGAAAAGUAAAUUCAAAUUUGCCAUAUUGUAUAAAUGUUUCACAGUCACUUUGCCCAACUGUAUGUUCCCGAUGAGCGUGGGGCUCUAUAAAUAACCCAUUGUGUCUGGACUCCUAAUGUUUCCUAAUCUCUGCACACUGCUGAAAUUCUACGCCACAUCAUCCAACAAGCCUCUUUGCUCAACAGUGGUUUUUAUUAUACCCAUUAUUAUAACAAAUAUCCAAUUAUCUAUUAUCUUGUAGAUCUGAUUGUAUACCUCUUUGUGGCGGUAAGGUCAAAUACUCUUACCUCUAUACGUGGAACAUCUGCCUGUGCUUCCUGUCUCAUCUGCAGCCCUCGUGGCCAGCAGCCCUUUUAACCUGAUCACAUAGGUAUUUUGCUUUCAUUCCCCCCCUGCGUUUUGUUUGUUUGAUUGGCUGAGCAGGUGUUUUAUAACCAUUAGAGACUUCAUUGCGACCCUGUCUCUGAGUAGUAAGCAAAUAGAACAAGCAGACAGCCAAGUCAUGCAAGUGAUUUCUUUCCCUCAAUGGAACCAUCUGGUGACUGAGCCAAAGAAAAAAAGGAAGCAUAGGUCGUCAGUGUGGUUGUUUACCUUUGGCUACAUAAUUGUGUUUCGAGGAAAGCGUGAGGUCACGGGCGAGGCUGCCAGUCGGUUCGGCAGGUUUCAAGGGCUUCGUUGGUGUCCUUGUUUGUUGCGAUUUCUUAUUUGUGGAGUCUGUAUUAAGUCUGUAUUAUUUAAUUAUUGAUAAUGUUUUUUAAUUAUACUAACUGUUGUAGUCUAAAAAUUGUAUAUUCCACUUAAUGUUUUAAUAAUUGAUUUUUUAAUUGAAAUAAAUGUAUUUAAUA